UACCUAGGGGGCGAGCGGUGUUCGGAAUUACUGGGCGUAAAGCGGGUGUAGGCGGCUUUGUAAGUCGGAUGUGAAAGCCCUGGGCUCAACCCAGGAAGUGCAUCCGAUACUGCAUGGCUUGAGUACUGGAGAGGGAAGUGGAAUUCCUGGUGUAGCGGUGAAAUGCGUAGAUAUCAGGAGGAACAUCGGAGGCGAAGGCGGCUUCCUGGCCAUGUACUGACGCUCAGACCCGAAAGCGUGGGGAGCAAACAGG
rnacentral:misc_RNA from 1 species